rnacentral:rRNA from 1 species
GAUGAACGCUAGCGACAGGCCUAACACAUGCAAGUCGAGGGACAGCACAAGGAGCAAUCUGAGGUGGCGACCGGCGCACGGGUGAGUAACACGUAUGCAACCUGCCUUCAACAAGGGGAUAACCCGUUGAAAGACGGACUAAUACCCUAUAACACAGGGGUCCCGCAUGGGAAUAUUUGUUAAAGGACAACCGGUUGAAGAUGGGCAUGCGUUCCAUUAGCUAGUUGGCGGGGUAACGGCCCACCAAGGCAACGAUGGAUAGGGGAACUGAGAGGUUUAUCCCCCACACUGGUACUGAGACACGGACCAGACUCCUACGGGAGGCAGCAGUGAGGAAUAUUGGUCAAUGGACGCAAGUCUGAACCAGCCACGUCGCGUGAAGGAAGACGGCCCUACGGGUUGUAAACUUCUUUUAUACGGGAAUAAAGUGCCCCACGCGUGGGGUUUUGCAUGUACCGUAUGAAUAAGGAUCGGCUAACUCCGUG